UGGGGAAUAUUGGACAAUGGGCGCAAGCCUGAUCCAGCCACGCCGCGUGAGUGAUGAAGGCCUUCGGGUCGUAAAGCUCUGUGGGGAGGGACGAACAGCGUAGUGAAGAACUACGCGUGACGGUACCUCCUUAGCAAGCACCGGCUAACUUCGUGCCAGCAGCCGCGGUAAUACGAAGGGUGCAAACGUUGCUCGGAAUUAUUGGGCGUAAAGCGCACGUAGGCGGCCUUGUAAGUCGGAUGUGAAAUCCCUCGGCUUAACCGAGGACGUGCAUCCGAAACUGUGAGGCUCGAGUAUGGAAGAGGGUCGCAGAAUUCCCGGUGUAGAGGUGAAAUUCGUAGAUAUCGGGAGGAAUACCAGUGGCGAAGGCGGCGACCUGGGCCAAUACUGACGCUGAGGUGCGAAAGCGUGGGGAGCAAACAG
rnacentral:rRNA from 1 species